rnacentral:tRNA from 1 species
AGAUAUAUAGUAUAAACAAAUAUUUUUAAUUUACGUUUAAAAGAUAGACUUUAAAGUUUUUUAUCUU